AGCGUACACGGUGGAUGCCCUGGCAGUCAGAGGCGAUGAAGGGCGUGCUAAUCUGCGAUAAGCGCCGGUAAGGUGAUAUGAACCGUUAUAACCGGCGAUACCCGAAUGGGGAAACCCAGUGUGACUCGUCACACUAUCAUUAACUGAAUCCAUAGGUUAAUGAGGCGAACCGGGGGAACUGAAACAUCUAAGUACCCCGAGGAAAAGAAAUCAACCGAGAUUCCCCCAGUAGCGGCGAGCGAACGGGGAGGAGCCCAGAGCCUGAAUCAGCAUGUGUGUUAGUGGAAGCGUCUGGAAAGGCGCGCGAUACAGGGUGACAGCCCCGUACACAAAAGCGCAUGUGCUGUGAGCUCGAUGAGUAGGGCGGGACACGUGGUAUCCUGUCUGAAUAUGGGGGGACCAUCCUCCAAGGCUAAAUACUCCUGACUGACCGAUAGUGAACCAGUACCGUGAGGGAAAGGCGAAAAGAACCCCGGCGAGGGGAGUGAAAAAGAACCUGAAACCGUGUACGUACAAGCAGUGGGAGCACAGGUUUACCUGUGUGACUGCGUACCUUUUGUAUAAUGGGUCAGCGACUUAUAUUCUGUAGCAAGGUUAACCGUAUAGGGGAGCCGUAGGGAAACCGAGUCUUAACCGGGCGUUAAGUUGCAGGGUAUAGACCCGAAACCCGGUGAUCUAGCCAUGGGCAGGUUGAAGGUUGGGUAACACUAACUGGAGGACCGAACCGACUAAUGUUGAAAAAUUAGCGGAUGACCUGUGGCUGGGGGUGAAAGGCCAAUCAAACCGGGAGAUAGCUGGUUCUCCCCGAAAGCUAUUUAGGUAGCGCCUCGUGAAUUCAUCUCCGGGGGUAGAGCACUGUUUCGGCUAGGGGGCCAUCCCGGCUUACCAACCCGAUGCAAACUGCGAAUACCGGAGAAUGUUAUCACGGGAGACACACGGCGGGUGCUAACGUCCGUCGUGAAGAGGGAAACAACCCAGACCGCCAGCUAAGGUCCCAAAGUCAUGGUUAAGUGGGAAACGAUGUGGGAAGGCCCAGACAGCCAGGAUGUUGGCUUAGAAGCAGCCAUCAUUUAAAGAAAGCGUAAUAGCUCACUGGUCGAGUCGGCCUGCGCGGAAGAUGUAACGGGGCUAAACCAUGCACCGAAGCUGCGGCAGCGAACGUAUCACCCAAGACAACUUUGCGGAGUUGACGAUUGACGGAGCGAAGCGACGUCAAAGCGUUCAUUAAAGUCGAGUUGGCUUAGGGAUACGUUCGUUGGGUAGGGGAGCGUUCUGUAAGCCUGUGAAGGUGGCCUGUGAGGGUUGCUGGAGGUAUCAGAAGUGCGAAUGCUGACAUAAGUAACGAUAAAGCGGGUGAAAAGCCCGCUCGCCGGAAGACCAAGGGUUCCUGUCCAACGUUAAUCGGGGCAGGGUGAGUCGACCCCUAAGGCGAGGCCGAAAGGCGUAGUCGAUGGGAAACGGGUUAAUAUUCCCGUACUUGGUGUUACUGCGAAGGGGGGACGGAGAAGGCUAUGUUGGCCGGGCGACGGUUGUCCCGGUUUAAGCGUGUAGGUGUGUGUUCCAGGUAAAUCCGGUUCACUUUAACACUGAGGCGUGAUGACGAGGCACUACGGUGCUGAAGCAACAAAUGCCCUGCUUCCAGGAAAAGCCUCUAAGCAUCAGGUAACAUCAAAUCGUACCCCAAACCGACACAGGUGGUCAGGUAGAGAAUACCAAGGCGCUUGAGAGAACUCGGGUGAAGGAACUAGGCAAAAUGGUGCCGUAACUUCGGGAGAAGGCACGCUGACACGUAGGUGAAGUGAUUUACUCAUGGAGCUGAAGUCAGUCGAAGAUACCAGCUGGCUGCAACUGUUUAUUAAAAACACAGCACUGUGCAAACACGAAAGUGGACGUAUACGGUGUGACGCCUGCCCGGUGCCGGAAGGUUAAUUGAUGGGGUCAGCGCAAGCGAAGCUCCUGAUCGAAGCCCCGGUAAACGGCGGCCGUAACUAUAACGGUCCUAAGGUAGCGAAAUUCCUUGUCGGGUAAGUUCCGACCUGCACGAAUGGCGUAAUGAUGGCCAGGCUGUCUCCACCCGAGACUCAGUGAAAUUGAACUCGCUGUGAAGAUGCAGUGUACCCGCGGCAAGACGGAAAGACCCCGUGAACCUUUACUAUAGCUUGACACUGAACAUUGAGCCUUGAUGUGUAGGAUAGGUGGGAGGCUUUGAAGCGUGGACGCCAGUCUGCGUGGAGCCAACCUUGAAAUACCACCCUUUAAUGUUUGAUGUUCUAACGUGGACCCGUAAUCCGGGUUGCGGACAGUGUCUGGUGGGUAGUUUGACUGGGGCGGUCUCCUCCUAAAGAGUAACGGAGGAGCACGAAGGUUGGCUAAUCCUGGUCGGACAUCAGGAGGUUAGUGCAAUGGCAUAAGCCAGCUUGACUGCGAGCGUGACGGCGCGAGCAGGUGCGAAAGCAGGUCAUAGUGAUCCGGUGGUUCUGAAUGGAAGGGCCAUCGCUCAACGGAUAAAAGGUACUCCGGGGAUAACAGGCUGAUACCGCCCAAGAGUUCAUAUCGACGGCGGUGUUUGGCACCUCGAUGUCGGCUCAUCACAUCCUGGGGCUGAAGUAGGUCCCAAGGGUAUGGCUGUUCGCCAUUUAAAGUGGUACGCGAGCUGGGUUUAGAACGUCGUGAGACAGUUCGGUCCCUAUCUGCCGUGGGCGCUGGAGAACUGAGGGGGGCUGCUCCUAGUACGAGAGGACCGGAGUGGACGCAUCACUGGUGUUCGGGUUGUCAUGCCAAUGGCACUGCCCGGUAGCUAAAUGCGGAAGAGAUAAGUGCUGAAAGCAUCUAAGCACGAAACUUGCCCCGAGAUGAGUUCU
rnacentral:rRNA from 1 species